UAGCAGUGGGACAUGAACUGCUCAGGUAGCCUCGUCUUUCCUCCAGAGAUGAAGAGGAAGCUCUUCACCCGAUUUCCGUUAAACCUCGAUGUUGAAAUCACUUGGAAAAAGAAUGGGAUUUCUUUGUUGACGGGAGAUAAAUACUGGAGUGUCAACGAUCAGUUGUUUGCUGGAACAGGAUAUCCAAAUAGCAAGUGCAAGAUCUGGAUGUGGCUUUGUAACAGUGACCUGUCCACAUUGAUGGUUCAAUGUUAAUUGUCAGUCAUCUGGGGGGAAACACAAAGGGGUUUCUAAUGGAUGUGAUUUCCUGGAUGAUACCUUUUGUUGGAUACAUACAUUGGAAAGUUUUAUUCUCGUGGAGAAGACCACAACUGAGGAUGUCCCAACACGUUCGAUCUCUGAAUCAUAAUAAACAUCAGCAGGAGACACCUUUCGCCAUGCAUACCUGAGACAGAUUCAGUGCUAGAGGAGAAUACCCGAAAUCGCAAGCUUCAACAUUUAGAACUCAGACUGUAUUGAAUCUCACAAUACUGCUGCAGAAUGACCACGGGCUGUUCAUAGCUGAAACACUAGAGAUGGAGAAUCACACAAGAUACUGGAGCAACAGAACACCAAAGUACUGCUGAGCCUGAAUGAUCUAAGGGAGAUGGAUGCUAGCAGUGGGACAUGAACUGCUCAGGUAGCCUCGUCUUUCCUCCAAAGAUGAAGAGGAAGCUCUUCACCCGAUUUCCGUUAAACCUCGAUGUUGAAAUCAUUUGGAAAAAGAAUGGGAUUUCUUUGUUGACGGGGGAUAAAUACUGGAGUGUCAACGAUCAGUUGUUUGCUGGAACAGGAUAUCCAAAUAGCAAGUGCAAGAUCUGGAUGUGGCUUUGUAACAGCGACCUGUACACAUUGAUGGUUCAAUGUUAAUUGUCAGUCAUCUGGGGGGAAACACAAGGGGGUUUCAGAUGGAUGUGAUUUCCGGGAUGAUACCUUUUGUUGGAUACAUACAUUGGAAAGUUUUAUUCUCGUGGAGAAGACCACAACUGAGGAUGUCCCAACACGUUCGAUCUCUGAAUCAUAACAAACAUCAGCAGGAGACACCUUUCAUUAUGUACACCUUGGAUGGAUACAGUGCUGGUAUCCCAGACCGAGGAGGUUCAGUCAACAUGCUUCAAUAUCGCAAAGGAUUCUGUUUCUGCUUAGUGUGUAAAGGCAUCUUCUGUUAACGCAGAAAGGUGGUAAGUGGUAAGACGAGGGAUUUUGAGAGUCAGGAUGUCACUGAUGUGGUGUUUGUGACAGUCCUGACUGUGAGCCAAAAACCCAACACAGUCCUGGAAUUAAAUUAGCCCAUCCUCUGGUAACAACGGUCUCCCUUUAUUCUUGCUUGUCUAAUGUGCAAUGUUAUAAAGUUAUCCUUGAUUGAUAGUACUACUGUAUGAUCAGCUGAGGUUAUUUUCAAUAUAAUGUGAUUCCGUCUGGUUUGGGCAAUAUAUUUGGAUUAACCAGCAUGACAUGAUGCCUCACAUAACCAGUUGGUCUACACAAAAUAGUGACAUUUUUCUUUCCCCUGCUGAUGCUGCUGUAACUAGCAGAUGGACCUUCUCAAGCUGCUGAUCCUGUUCUUGACCACACCUGAAGUCCCACAUGAGCACUGUUCAGUGGGUAGUAAACUGAUGCAGGAAUCCUGUUUGUUAUCACCAAGUGCAAUGACCAGAUUCCUGCAUCUAGCCUGGCUGAUAGCAGGUCAACCCACUCCAAACCGGAAACGUUGAAAUUGUGUUUUUGUCUUUCUGUAGGGAGAUGGAUGCUAGCAGUGGGACAUGAACUGCUCAAACAGUCUCGUCUGUCCACCAGCAAUGAAAUGGAACCUCUUCACCUGAUCUCCAUUAAACGUCAUGCAGCAAUCACCUGAAAAAUGUUGAGACUUAUUUUUGACAAAAAGUCACAGACCUGAAAUAUGAACUCUGUUUCUAUUUUUCCACAGAUGCUGCCAGGCUUGUGGAAUGCUUCCAGCAAGAUCUCUUUUCAUGAAACAUCAUUUCCUGGUUAUGAGUGUGUCAACAAUCAGUUAUUCGCUGGAACAGGAUAUCUAAAUUGCAAGUGCAAGAUUUGGAUGUGGCUUUGUAACAGCGACCUGUACACAUUGAUUGGUUCAAUGUUUGAUAUGUGUCAGUCAUCUGGGGGGAGAUAGAAUGGGUUUCUGAUGGAUGUGAUUUCUGGGAUGAUACCUUUGCUGGAUACAUACAUUGGAAAGUUUUGUUCUUGUGGAGAAGACCACAACUGAGAAUAUUCUGACACAUUUGAUCUCUGAAUCGUAACAAACAUCAGCAGGAGACACCUUUCCUCAUGUAUACCUUGGAUGGAUCCCAAAUCAAGGACGUUCAAUCAACGCACUUCCAAAUUUUAAAGGAUCCUGUUUCUCCUCUUGGUGUGUAAAGGCAUCUUCAGUUCUUAACGCAGAAAGGUGGGAGAUGGAUGCUAGCAGUGGGACGUGAACUGCUCAAACAGCCUCGUCUGUCCACCAGCGAUGAAAUGGAACCUCUUCACCUGAUCUCCAUUAAACGUCAUGCAGCAAUCACCUGAAAAAUGUUGAGACUUAUUUUUGACAAAAAGUCACAGACCUGAAAUAUGAACUCUGUUUCUAUUUUUCCACAGAUGCUGCCGGGCUUGUGGAAUGCUUCCAGCAAGAUCUCUUUUCAUGAAACAUCAUUUCUUUGUUGACGGGAGAUAAAUACUGGAGUGUCAACAAUCAGUUGUUUGCUGGAACAGGAUAUCCAAAUAGCAAGUGCAAGAUCUGGAUGUGGCUUUGUAACAGCGACCCGUACACAUUGAUGGUUCAAUGUUAAUUGUCAGUCAUCUGGGGGGAAACACAAGGGGGUUUCUGAUGGAUGUGAUUUCCGGGAUGAUACCUUUUGUUGGAUACAUACAUUGGAAAGUUUUAUUCUCGUGGAGAAGACCACAACUGAGGAUGUCCCAACACGUUCGAUCUCUGAAUCAUAACAAACAUCAGCAGGAGACACCUUUCGCCAUGCAUACCUGAGACAGAUUCAGUGCUAGAGGAGAAUACCCGAAAUCGCAAGCUUCAACAUUUAGGGAGGUGGAUACUAGCAGUGGGACACGAACCAUUCAAACAGCCUCAUCUGUCCUCCAAAGAUGAAAUGGAACCUCUUCACCUGAUCUCCAUUAAACCUCGAUGCUGCAAUCACUUGGAAAAAUGGUGAGGUUUAUUUCUGACAAAAAGUCAUAGACCUGAAAUUUGAACUCUGUUUCUGUUUCUCCACAGACGCUGCCGGGCUUGUGGAAUGCUUCCAGCAAGAUCUCUUUUCAUGAAACAUCAUUUACUGCUUACGAAUGUGUCAACAAUCAGUUAUUCGCUGGAACAGGAUAUCUAAAUCGCAAGUGCAAGAUUUGGAUGUGGUUUUGUAACAGCGACCUGUACACAUUGAUUGGUUCAAUGUUUGAUAUGUGUCAGUCAUCUGGGGGGAGAUAUAAUGGGGUUUCUGAUGGAUGUGAUUUCUGGGAUGAUACCUUUGCUGGAUACAUACAUUGGAAAGUUUUAUUCUCGUGGAGAAGACCACAACUGAGGAUGUCCCAACACAUUUGAUCUCUGAAUUGCAACAAACAUCAGCAGGAGACACCUUUCAUUAUGUACACCUUGGAUGGAUACAGUGCUGGUACCCCAGACCAAGGAGGUUCAAUCAACAUGCUUCAAUAUCGCAAAGGAUUCUGUUUCUGCUUGGUGUGUAAAGGCAUCUUCUGUUAACGCAGAAAGGUGGACACAGAGUAAUGUACCGGUGCAGAAUGACCACACAGGCUGCUUAUGGAGAUAGAGAGUCGCACAAGACGCUGGACCGGGACAACGCCUAAGCACGACUGGGCCUGAAUGAGAUUCCUGCCCAGAGUUCAUUUCAUUACAGAGGCAAUGUGACUGUCCUUCGCCCUAACCCUUCAUCAACUGAGAGCUGUGGUUCAGGGUGCAAAGAGUAUUUGAAUGAUCAAGAGUUACUGGAGAUCUUCACAUUCAUCUAGGAAUGAAGACAAGAACCUGGCUCUUCAAGUGAUAUUUGAAUCUUAUGUUUGUUUAUUCAUGCAGGUCUGGAAUUUGUAAAGGUGAGAAAACGGGAAAUGACAGGUACUCAUUACAAACCAUCAUCGCUCUUAAAUCUCUGAUCAGUAUUCAGAGGAACACAGGUAGACAAAACCAGAGGUCAAAAUCAAGGAAGUGAAAGCGUUUUAUAUUAAACAUUUGGCCAUUUUCUCUGCUGGAUUAGACUUAUAGAGGCAGGUUUUGAAGAACAGUAUUAAAGUGAGAUAGUUUACUGCUUAAAAGGCCAAUUGUGCUCACACUGAAUAGUGACAUGUAAACUGCUAGUCAAGGCUAUUAAAUUAUUUGGGCUUUAAAACAAGUAAUUGAAUAGGUUACAUGUUAAAUGGUUUCUUAAAAAGAAGUUCAGUGUGAAUUUUGGCAGCCACACCAGUGGCCCAAAGAUAACAACCUGUUCAGAGUGAGUAAUAGGCAAAUUAGAAAACACACAGCCUGCAACAGGCUGAAUGCAAAGUCACAAAUGAGCUGCAUACUUGUCCUGAUUAUUCUUUGUGUACAUGGGGCACACAGCUUUCUCUGCUCGGUCACAAAGGCAUACAUUUCUUUGACUGGCGAAGUGCCACUCCCAUGCCAAGCACGCUUUCAUUAGCAGAGGGUGAGGUGCCUGUUGAGCAGAGGCAUCAUUUCUUCUGGCCAGUAGGUGCUUUCAGCCAGACUGCUGAAAACAUACUCAAGCAGGUAACAAAUGAGCAGACUCAAGAGAUUUAUUCACACUUGCAGGAACUGUGAUUCCUAGAGAGAGAGAGAGACACACACACACAAAUAGACCAUGGUGUAUGGAGACUUCUGGCUAGAGUGUCAACAUGUUAUCUACUUGUCACCUGCUGGGAGCUAAAUAAACUGGUUGUUCACUAAUAACCUUGACCAGCACUCGCUGGGCGAUGGUGACUAGCUCAUGCUGUGACUACAGGGGUUGUGGCUGUGAGUGGGACAGUGGAACCACAGUCAUAAUCCAGAUCCACAAUGGUGUGAAUGUUUGUGUUCAGACUGCUCAUGGAUGUUGCUGUCUGCCGGUCUCGAAUACUCUGGAUGUAGCUCUAAAGAAACAAGGAGAAAAAUCAAUUAUUAUCAAGUUCUUUGAGGAUGUGACUAGAAAAGUUGAUGAGGGUCAAGUUGUGGAUGUGGUGUAUAUGGACUUCAGUAAGGCAUUUGAUAAGGUUCCCUAUGGUAGGCUCAUUCAGAAGGUCAGGAGGAAUGGGAUACAGGGGAACUUAGCUGUCUGGAUACAGAAUUGGCUGGCCAACAGAAGACAGCAAGUGGUAGUAGAAGGAAAAUAUUCUGCCUGGAAGUCAGUGGUGAGUGGGGUUCCACAGGGCUCUGUCCUUGGGCCUCUACUGUUUGUAAUUUUUAUUA